CCUGCUUCUGCCUCCUGCGUUGUUUUUUAAGUUUAAAAAAAAUAUGGUGAAACCCCAGUGGGACCAGUUACCCCGGCCUGCUGGUGAGUGUGUUCUUUGUUACUGCAGGACCUGCCUGAUGUGCAAGAGCUCAUCACUCAGGUGCGGUCAGAGAAGUGCUCGCUGCAGGCCGCAGCUAUCCUGGGUGAGCCCCCUCCCUGCUCUUGGCCGAGUCCCCAGACCCCCUCUGCUACUCUGCUUCCACACCCAGCACCACCGUUUUACUGUAGAAAGCAUCUUCUAAGAUUGAUGUUUCCUAGCCCGUGCCUGCUACACUACACUGGGCACUCAGCCAUGCAGAGCAAUGUGGAAAACCCAGUCGAACUUCCUUUUUCCUUAGCAUCUUCCAAACUCUGCAGCUCCUGUGGGUUGGUCACAGUGGAUCCCUGCUGUGUUCCUGCUGCCUAGCUUUACUUGGGAUUUAGAGCCCUGAUCAACACUGAUGAAAAGCCACACCAUGGCAAGAGUGUGCAAAGUCCCCAUUCUUACUAAAUCCCUGUGGAAUUUUCAGAUGCAAAUGAGUCCCAUCAAACUGACACGGCCUCCCAAGUCAAGGACAAUACGCCUCUCGUUGAACGGUUUGAGACCUUUUGCCUGGACCCUUCCCUUGUCACCAAGCAGGCCAGCCUCGUGCACUUCCCCCCCGGAUUCCAGCCCAUCCCCUGCAAGCCUCUGUUCUUUGACCUGGCCCUCAACCACGUGGCCUUCC
rnacentral:lncRNA from 1 species